rnacentral:rRNA from 1 species
GACAGAGGUUGCAAACGUUGUUCGGAAUUACUGGGCAUAAAGCGCACGUAGGCGGUUCGUUAAGUCAUGUGUGAAAUCCCUCGGCUCAACCGAGGAAUUGCGCCUGAUACUGGCGGGCUAGAGAUCGAUAGGGGUGAGUGGAACUCCAGGUGGAGCGGUGAAAUGCGUAGAUAUCUGGAGGAACACCGGUGGCGAAAGCGGCUCACUGGAUCGAUACUGACGCUGAGGUGCGAAAGCGUGGGGAGCAAACAGG